UUUAGGAGAGUUUUAAUUGUACGGUAGUGAGGGGGAGAGAGUAGCUAUCGCUGAUACAACCUUUAAUACAGAAACUAAUCAUGAUUAUUGCAGCUACUUAAAAUGGUCUUGAAUUUUGCAAUUUAGCCACGUUUACCAUUGUGUUGGUGGUAAUGUGAGCAGUGAAUAUCUGCCAAACUGAUCAUAAUCAUUAUUUAAAAAAUUGUACAGCAACUCAAUUUAUUGUACAGCAUGCAUAAUUUGGUUUAAUCCUAUCUUAUUGACAGAGUCCUCACAAAUAAACUGAUAUCAAGAAUUAACACAGAUGGUGAUGGUGGCAAGUGUGCCUUCAGAAGGUGCCACCCAGCAGUCCCAGCCUGCUUUUGCAAGUCCGAUGGGGGAUGAUCUAUGUUAAGGUCGUGUAAGCAAGAAGGCAAGUGCUGCUGCAGGCAAUGUUGCGAUAAGCCUGCAACAGAUAUAGCCGGCCUUCUAAAAUCCAAGAAUGAGGAAUGCCUGAAACAAGGAACAACUCGGCAGUGUAUGUGAACGUGUUUACCUGUGUGUGUAUGAGUGUGCAUGUGUGUGGGAGUGUAUGAGUGGUGUGUGUGUGUGUGUGUACAACUUGUGCUCUGAUUGUGCACCAGUUUGCUCAUGGUUAUGUGUUAGCCUGUACACUUUUUGUUUUGUUUUAGGUGGGUGAAUAUUUAUAUAUGUAUGGGUGUAUGCUGUAAUGUAUGUGUUUGUGUGUAAAUCCGUUGAGUUCAUAUCAGAUGAGGGCAACACCAUGCCAGUUUGAUCAGGGUAUAAGCAUGUAUGCUUAUGUAUAUUAGCCUGUAUGCUUUUUGUUUCGUUUUAGGUGGGUGAAUAUGUGUAUGGGUGGGUUGUUUUGUUGCUGGUUGUCUUUAAACAGUAAACUUGUUUAAAAUA